rnacentral:lncRNA from 1 species
CUGGGACUUGGAGUCCAGUCCCUGGGGGUCCCGCGGGGAUGGCUCUGGGCACCCGAAGCCCCUCCCCAGCGCCGAGACAGGAGGGCUGGGGUAGAUUCGAGACCCCGGUUUGCAGAGCGCAAGACUGAGGCCCAGGGCCGCGCAGUCAGGCAGGAAACGGCGCUCCUGGCGGAUGGAACAGCACGGGCAAAGGCUGGGGUCUCGCUCCGU